AUGAACGCUAGCGAUAGGCUUAACACAUGCAAGUCGAGGGGCAGCACAAGGUAGCUUGCUCUCUGGGUGGCGACCGGCGCACGGGUGCGUAACGCGUAUGCAACUUGCCCUAUACAGGAGGAUAACCCGUCGAAAGACGGACUAAUACUGCGUAUGCUCACAACUUGGCAUCAAGUGGUGAGGAAAGAAAUUCGGUAUAGGAUAGGCAUGCGUCCCAUUAGCUUGUUGGUGAGGUAACGGCUCACCAAGGCAACGAUGGGUAGGGGAACUGAGAGGUUUAUCCCCCACACUGGUACUGAGACACGGACCAGACUCCUACGGGAGGCAGCAGUGAGGAAUAUUGGUCAAUGGGCGCGAGCCCGAACCAGCCAAGUCGCGUGAAGGAUGACUGUCUUAUGGAUUGUAAACUUCUUUUAUACGGGAAUAACAAGAGUCACGUGUGACUCCCUGCAUGUACCGUAUGAAUAAGCAUCGGCUAACUCCGUG
rnacentral:rRNA from 1 species